GACGAACGCUGGCGGCGUGCUUAACACAUGCAAGUCGAACGGAAAGGCCCUGCUUUUGUGGGGUGCUUGAGUGGCGAACGGGUGAGUAACACGUGAGUAACCUGCCCGUGACUUUGGGAUAACUUCAGGAAACUGGGGCUAAUACCGCAUAGGAGCUCCUGCUGCAUGGUGGGGGCUGGAAAGUUUCGGCGGUUGGGGAUGGACUCGCGGCUUAUCAGCUUGUUGGUGGGGUAGUGGCUUACCAAGGCUUUGACGGGUAGCCGGCCUGAGAGGGUGACCGGCCACAUUGGGACUGAGAUACGGCCCAGACUCCUACGGGAGGCAGCAGUGGAGAAUAUUGCACAAUGGGCGGAAGCCUGAUGCAGCAACGCCGCGUGCGGGAUGACUGCCUUCGGGUUGUAAACCGCUUUCGCCUGUGACGAAGCGUGAGUGACGGUAAUGGGUAUAGAAGCACCGGCUAACUACGUG
rnacentral:rRNA from 1 species